GAUGAAGAACGCAGCGAAAUGCGAUAAGUAAUGUGAAUUGCAGAAUUCAGUGAAUCAUCGAAUCUUUGAACGCACAUUGCGCCCCUUGGUAUUCCGAGGGGCAUGCCUGUUCGAGCGUCAUUAUAACCCUCAAGCUCAGCUUGGUGUUGGGGCCUGCUGCACUGGCAGCACUUAAAAUCAGUGGCGGCGCCAUCUGGCUCUAAGCGUAGUAAUUCUUCUCGCUAUGGAGUCCUGGUGGAUGCUUGCCAUCAACCCCCAAUUUUUCUAUGGUUGACCUCGGAUCAGGUAGGGAUACCCGCUGAACUUAAGCAUAUCAAUAAGCGGAGGA
rnacentral:misc_RNA from 1 species